rnacentral:rRNA from 1 species
CUUAGAGGGACAANNGGCGUUUAGCCGCGCGAGAUUGAGCAAUAACAGGUCUGUGAUGCCCUUAGAUGUCCGGGGCGCACGCGCGCUACACUGAAGGGAUCAGCGUGGCCUUCCCCCUGGCCCGAGAGGGCUGGGUAACCCGUUGNAUCCCNUUCGUGCUAGGGAUCCGGGGCUUGUAAUUAUUCCCCGUGAAAGAGGAAUUCCCAGUAAGCGCGGG